GAGUGAAGAUGAGAUGGAGAUGGGAGAUGAGAGGGGAGGAGGGAGGAAGGAGUAACAAAAGUGAAAAUAAAAACUAAAAUCUAUUUGAAAUUGUUUUCACUUUCAAGUUUUUGUUUUCACUUUUGUUACUUUUCCCUCUCAUCCUCUCUCUCAAUCUCAUCCUCACUCUCAUCCUCACUCU
rnacentral:snoRNA from 1 species